rnacentral:lncRNA from 1 species
GUGACUGCAGCCCAUAUGCCUCAAUUACAUCUCUCAUGUCCUUCACUGUUCCCUGAUUUUCCUGGGAUAUUGACUACAAAGUUUUCUGCUACAAGGAAAGAAGAAGGAAACUUAAGAGAAAUGAAAAUUAAGAAAUACAGCUUGUUCCUAGAAAAUUCAGACUCCUCGAUCUUUAGACACAAGAUCGAGGUCCUGGGCCUUACAUUUCAACACAGCCAGCUUUCCUGAAAGCAGUGCCUGUUCCAAAGGUAUAAGCAAAUGAGGAAAACAACCCACGUGUAGGAGUGAGAAGCUUUCCUACACAAGAAUUUGCAUGAAUAAAUGGUGGCUUAUGUGGCA